UACGUAGGGUGCAAGCGUUGUCCGGAAUUACUGGGCGUAAAGGGCGCGUAGGCGGCCUUCUAAGUCGAACGUGAAAUCCCCGGGCUCAACCCGGGGACUGCGUCCGAUACUGGAAGGCUUGAAUCCGGGAGAGGGAUGCGGAAUUCCAGGUGUAGCGGUGAAAUGCGUAGAUAUCUGGAGGAACACCGGUGGCGAAGGCGGCAUCCUGGACCGGUAUUGACGCUGAGGCGCGAAAGCCAGGGGAGCAAACGGG
rnacentral:rRNA from 1 species